rnacentral:rRNA from 1 species
AGAUUGAACGCUGGCGGCAUGCCUUACACAUGCAAGUCGAACGGCAGCACGGGAGCAAUCCUGGUGGCGAGUGGCGAACGGGUGAGUAAUACAUCGGAACGUGCCCAGUAGUGGGGGAUAGCCCGGCGAAAGCCGGAUUAAUACCGCAUACGACCUGAGGGUGAAAGCAGGGGAUUCGCAAGAACCUUGCGCUAUUGGAGCGGCCGAUGUCAGAUUAGCUAGUUGGUGGGGUAAAGGCCUACCAAGGCUACGAUCUGUAGUUGGUCUGAGAGGACGACCAGCCACACUGGGACUGAGACACGGCCCAGACUCCUACGGGAGGCAGCAGUGGGAAUUUGGACAAUGGGGGCAACCCUGAUCCAGCAAUGCCGCGUGCAGGAAGAAGGCCUUCGGGUUAGUAAACGUGCGUUUUUGUACAGGAAGAAUCUUCUGGCUAAUACCGUCGGAGAGUGACGUACCUAGAA